rnacentral:lncRNA from 1 species
UUCUACUACCUUCCAUCCCUUCCCUUGUUCAUUCAGAUCAUUCUCCGCUCUUUUUACUCUUCAUCAAAUCGAUCGGAGUUCAAUCAAAUUUUGAAAAGGGACUAACAUUAGUAUAUGUUGUAGAAAAGAGCUACAAUAGCUUUUAGAGUGAAUUUCAGCUCUGUUCUCCUUGAUAGUUGAACAGUAUGGCCAGAUACCUCACUGCUCUAGUUGUGGCCAUAAUGGUGGUUAUGACUUUAUCUUUGGUGCUGAUGCCAGUGGUGAUGCCUCCGCUUUCUUCGCCUCCGAUGGUGAUUUUGCUAGUUCCAAUUAUGAUGAUUGGCCUUCUUAUUUGCUUGGCAUUAUUUACAUAUUCUAAUGUACCUUAUGUAGAGGUUAACUCCAACAAUGACCGUUAAAAGAUAGGCUUGUUGGUUUUAUCCUGCUCUUCGUGCAGGGUUAUCAAUGGUCUUUAUGUAAUAAGUUUUUAUCGUGUCUGGUUGGAGUGGAUGUUUAACAAAUGCGUUCACUAAAGAAAAUAAGAUAUUAUGAAGAUGAUGUAUGUGCUUUCCUUUACUGACAAAUGUUGAAUCAUGGAGAAGGCAUGCAUUUGUUGUCUUCUAUGAUAUCUCUAUUAAUGACUUGGAUAUCAUAUAUUUUGUGUGGAAGUGGGGCGAAUAGAAUUGGAUAUCAA